GCCCCUAUGGCUCAGUGGUAAAGCGUCUCACUCGUAUCGUCUCUGUGCCAAUGAGAAGAUCAUCAGUUCGAUUCUGAUUGGGGGCA